UUACUUAAUUUAAAUGCUGCCAAAGUUAAUAAUGAAAGACAACAUCCUCUGGUGUGUCAGAGCUCAGUGCCCAAGAAGAAAAGCAAGAGUGCCUUUCUGCACUCCUGUCUUUGCUAAAGGCAACCUGGAAAAAAACUAGAGCAGAUUCAGGGAUACUGUAAUUAGCAGGAUUUAAAAUGAUCUCUGCAGGUCACUUUUCUUGGCCCAGAAUUGCCCAAGAACUCGACACCUGAACCGGAGGUCUGAGGUGCCUGUGCCAUCAGAGGGUGCCCACAGUGUAUGUGCCACCCACAGGUACUCCAGGAAAACAAACUGCCUUGGAACAUCAGCUUUCCUUCACAGAAAUGAUGGAAAGUGGGAAGAGCACAGUUCAAAGAUUCAUUCCAGGAUUUUUGCUAGUACCUACUUUCUCUUUUUCACAUCAAGAACACCGAGCAGCACUGAAGAGAAGAAACUGCAUCAUCUAACUGCUGGAAGAGAUGAAACUCUGUGCAGCCCUUCAUGUCAAAUAAUAAAGGCCUUGAACACUUGCUGUGACUGUCACUUUAUGUUGAAUUUAUUGUACAGCAUGUGAGUUGUAAGGCUGAGGAGCCAUCUGUCAUAAG
rnacentral:lncRNA from 1 species